rnacentral:rRNA from 1 species
UCGAGAAUCUUCCGCAAUGGGCGAAAGCCUGACGGAGCGACGCCGCGUGGAGGAUCGAAGGCCUUCGGGUUGUAAACUCCUUUCAAGCGGGGACGAAUAGCUGUGCGUUAAUAGCGUACGGUGUGACAUAACCCGCAGAAGAAGCUCCGGCUAACCCUGUGCCAGCAGCCGCGGUAAUACAGGGGGAGCGAACGUUACUCGGAAUCACUGGGCAUAAAGGGCGCGUAGGCGGUCCUGUAAGUCGGAUGUG